rnacentral:rRNA from 1 species
ACAGCAGUAGCCGCGGUAAUACGAGGGGGGCAAGCGUUGUUCGGAUUUAUUGGGCGUAAAGGGUGCGUAGGCGGUUUGGCAAGUCUUGUGUGAAAUCUUCGGGCUCAACCCGAAGCCUGCAUGAGAAACUACCGGGCUUGAGUAUUGGAGAGGUGAGUGGAAUUUCCGGUGUAGCGGUGAAAUGCGUAGAUAUCGGAAGGAACACCUGUGGCGAAAGCGGCUCACUGGACAAUAACUGACGCUGAUGCACGAAAGCCAGGGGAGCAAACAGGAUUAGAUACCCCAGUAGUCCCUGUCUCUUAUAC